ensembl:miRNA
UCACAGCUGCCAGCGUCAUUUUUGUGAUCUGCAGCUAGUAUUCUCACUCCAGUUGCAUAGUCACAAAAGUGAUCAUUGGCAGGUGUGG